rnacentral:piRNA from 1 species
UCUCCAGAUGUGCCAGUCCUCAACUGGUGU